rnacentral:misc_RNA from 1 species
UCUCCGUAGGUGAACCUGCGGAGGGAUCAUUGUUGAAUGGCCCUCGGGCCUUUGCCAUCAAACCCGUGGUAGCAAGAUGUGCUUCGAUGCCCCUGGGCAUCGCCCCAAUGCUUUAUAUGUGUCUGUCGUCUGAAAUGGAAUUGAGAAUUAAAACUUUCAACAAAGGAUCUCUUGGCUCUC